GCCGCGCUUUCUUCGUUGAAUCAUGACGCGGCGUCAUCAUCGACAAGUAAUACAACUGAUGCUAUACCGAGCCCUAACAAUUAUAGCUGGGCUCCUGCAUUGUAUCAACAUAAACAUAGUCAAAAGAACGUUUUGGACACAACUAUGCAAGCAUCCACUAGCGACAAUUCUAAUAAAUCUGUUACUGAAAAGUCGUUAGAAGAAACUAAUUCUUCAGGAUCUUCCUGAAAUAACGUUUGCAAUAUUUAUUUCAUACGUGUACUGUGAUUUUUGUUCACCUAAACGUUAAUAUUGUUAUUAGAAGUGAUAGGAAAAAGUGAGACCAGUGAAAUUAGAAAAUUAAUAUUUAAAUAUAAUAACAUGCUUAAAGAGCAUAAAGAAAAAGACGUGUGACUUCGGUAUCAUUCCAUAUUAGUGUGAUAGUGUGAUCUACAUUAUUUAUCAUUAUUUAUUAUUCGCGUAUAGUUGCACGUGUUCGGUUAAAUCCCAGGUUUUUAUUUAGACUUCAA